rnacentral:rRNA from 1 species
AGUGAACGCUGGCGGUAGGCCUAACACAUGCAAGUCGAACGGCAGCACAGUAAGAGCUUGCUCUUACUGGUGGCGAGUGGCGGACAGGUGAUGAAUACAUCGGAAUCUACUUUUUCUUGGGGGAUAACGUAGGGAAACUUACGCUAAUACCUCAUACGACCUACGGGUGAAAGCAGGGGAUCUUCGGACCUUGCGCGAUUGAAUGAGCCGAUGUCGGAUUAGCUAGUUGGCGGGGUAAAGGCCCACCAAGGCGACGAUCCGUAGAUGGUCUGAGAGGAUGAUCAGCCACACGGGAACGGAGACACGGACCAGACGCCUACGGGAGGCAGCAGUGGGGAAUAGUGGACAAUGGGCGAAAGCAUGAUACAGCAAUACCGCGUGGGUGAAGAAGGCCUUCGGGUUGUAAAGCCCUUUUGUUGGGAAAGAAAAGAAGCAGGUUAAUACCACGAUGUUAUGACGGUACCCAAAGAAUAAGCACCGGCUAACUUCGUG